UGGGGUGUCGCCAAGCGGUAAGGCACCGGAUUCUGAUUCCGGCAUUCCGGGGUUCGAAUCCCUGCACCCCAG
rfam:Pantoea gaviniae strain LMG 25382 Contig0032_, whole genome shotgun sequence.